UCCUCGGUAGCUCAGUGGUAGAGCAGACGGCUGUUAACCGUCCGGUCGCUGGUUCGAAUCCGGCCCGGGGAGCCA
rnacentral:tRNA from 2 species